ACAAACUUGGUCAUUUAGAGGAAGUAAAAGUCGUAACAAGGUCUCCGUUGGUGAACCAGCGGAGGGAUCAUUACCGAGUUUACAACUCCCAAACCCCAAUGUGAACUUACUUUUCUUGUUGCUUCGGCGGGACUGCCCCGGACCUCUGCGUCUGGAACCAGGCGCCCGCCGAAGACCCCUUUUAAACUCUUGAUGUUUUGCAUAGCGGCAUUGUCUGAGUGUUAAAAAAACAAAUGAAUCAAAACUUUCAACAACGGAUCUCUUGGUUCUGGCAUCGAUGAAGAACGCAGC
rnacentral:misc_RNA from 1 species